GGACUUACUGGUCAAGGGAGAUAAUCAUGGUCAAACACGUGAUUGUCCCAGGGUAAGGUUCGCCCACUGCACUCCAGGUGUUCUGCCCUCUGUUUGUUCCUCACUUGAGAGAAACUUCAUAAUUUGUGGUUAGUGGGGGACUUCAUUAGUGCUUUCCUCUA